GUCAUUGGAACCGUAGUAGCAAAAUGUGUCUAUGGCCCAUAUUUGUGGUGGAGUCAAUUGAGGCAUAUACACAAGCAUAAAGUCAUUGGGAUUUAUGUGCUGAUUUAUACAGUUACACCAACAAGUCGUGCCAUCCUGACAGCUCAAAAUAUUCUAUGGAUUGUUACUUCAAAAAAAUAUAGACAGAAAUGGAUAAUUGUUGAGAAAUGACAUUUAAAGAGAGAUUGACUUUGGAACUUCUAUUCCUCUGUUAUGUCAGAGGCAAGACACUAUGGGCCAUUCUAUUUAAUGUCCAACCCCCCAUGGAUGGAUUUUUCUGAACGGUGACUACAUUUGAAGUUGUUUCUGAGAGGUUAAGCCUGUCGGCAUCCUUGAUCUCUGCAAUUUUUCUAAGGGGUAUUGGGG